GUAUAGGUAGAUUCUGACUGUAAGAUGUUGUUUUAGGGGCUCAAGGGGAGAAACUGAAAGUGUUUGACUCUUUUUCUAAAGUGUUGAAGGUCUUUCUAAUGUAGCUAUUUUUCUCGUUGCAUCUUUUCUACUUCAGCGCACUCGGUGUGCUGGCUUAAUGGCUAGUACUGUAUUGGCUCUGUGAAAUCCUGUGUGUGAAGAAGAGUAUGUAGUGGCUUUUUUGGAACUGUUAGAUGCUGAAUAUCUGUUCACUUUUCCAUCCCAGUUCUGCCCCGAUCCUACGAGAUGCUACUGUACUUGAAUGGUUAAUAAAGCUGCACAGUGCU